CCUACGGGUGGCUGCAGUGGGGAAUUUUGGACAAUGGGCGAAAGCCUGAUCCAGCAAUGCCGCGUGAGUGAAGAAGGCCUUCGGGUUGUAAAGCUCUUUUGUUUGGGAAGAAAUCCCUAAGGAUAAUACCCUUGGGGGAUGACGGUACCAAAAGAAUAAGCACCGGCUAACUACGUGCCAGCAACCGCGGUAAUACGUAGGGUACAAGCUUUAAUCGGAAUUACUGCGGGUAAAGUUGGAGCACACGGGUGAACUCCCCGAGCUCAACUUGGGAACUGCACUUGUGACUGCAAGACUAGAGUGUGUCAGAGGGAGGUAGAAUUCCACGUGUAGCAGUGAAAUGCGUAGAUAUGUGGAGGAAUACCAGUGGCGAAGGCGGCCUCCUGGGAUAACACUGACGCUCAUGUACGAAAGCGUGGGGAGCAAACAGGAUUAGAUACCCCAGUAGUC
rnacentral:rRNA from 1 species